UCAUAGGCCCAAGAAAAAAUCCACAAAGGGCAGGGGCAGCAAAGCCUACAUCAACUCAGAAAUACAGAAUUCAUAGGGAAAAUGGUAAAUAAAGAACUGUCUUCAUUACCAAAUUCUCAACUUUGCAAAAAAGGGCAGUAGUCUCCCAUGUACUCGAAAUGGACAUUGGUAUCUGCUUCUUCCAUGCAGGUAUGUCGGGCAUUGUAUCAAGGACACUUACAUCUCUACAAUUCUCAGAUGCUCUUCCCAUGUUAAGGCAGAUUUGAACAGACAAUCCAAUGCAAUUCCAAACUACUUAUUUUCCAUUGAGCUCAAGGUAUUUGAAAAAAAAAUAAAUCAAAUAUAUAAACCAAUUCUGAGAAGUGAAAGCUUCUCACAUGUUGGUCUCCUUACAAAUGGGCUGAUUGUGAACUGCCUGCUGCGUACUUACCAGUUCACACACUUUCCCUUUGCUCCUUUCCAUACUGCCUAAUUUGCCUGUCUCCUUCUGGCCUUCUGUAGACUCAUGAAGCAUAUUUACGUGCCAAAGACUUUGAACUAUCAUAUCAUAGGUUGAGAAACUACCACCAAGAAAUCAGUAUUUAAAACACCUACAGUGCAGCCCAAAUAUCCUUCUGCAUCUCGGUGAAUACAAUAACUUUUCAGGGCUAAAAAGAAUCCUUCUCAAGCUCUAGAUGAUAAAAAGAUGAUGAACACUACUUACCAUCCUUUCCUCACGUACCAAGAGCAAUCAGUCUCUCUGUCACUUUAAUAACAGACCAGGAAAGGUGAUAAUGUUAAGAGCAUGGAGCUACCAGCUUCUUGCCCAAGUGUUUAAAAAAUAGAUCAGAGACUGGCCAUGAAGCCUAGUGGUUAAGUUUGGCACGCUCUGCUUUGGUAGCCUGGGUUCAGUUCCUGGGCGCAGACCUACACCACUCGUCAGUGGCCAUGCUGUGGCGGCUCACAUACAAAAUAGAGGAAGACUGGCACAGAUGUUAGCUCAGGCUGAAUCUUCCUCAGCAAAAUAAUAAUAAUAAAAAAUAAAAAAUAGAUCAUAGAUGGAAUACUUAUUUAAAUGAAGUAUUUAAAGCGAUUGAGGAGUCUCAAACUGAAAUUGCCUUCAAG
rnacentral:lncRNA from 1 species